GACGAACGCUGGCGGCGUGCUUAACACAUGCAAGUCGAACGAUGAAGCCUUCGGGUGGAUUAGUGGCGAACGGGUGAGUAACACGUGGGAAAUCUGCCCUGCACUCUGGGACAAGCCUUGGAAACGAGGUCUAAUACCGGAUAUGACCUUCCUCCGCAUGGGGGUUGGUGGAAAGCUCCGGCGGUGCAGGAUGAUCCCGCGGCCUAUCAGCUUGUUGGUGGGGUAAUGGCCUACCAAGGCGACGACGGGUAGCCGGCCUGAGAGGGCGACCGGCCACACUGGGACUGAGACACGGCCCAGACUCCUACGGGAGGCAGCAGUGGGGAAUGUUGCACAAUGGGCGAAGGCCUGAUGCAGCGACGCCGCGUGAGGGAUGACGGCCUUCGGGUUGUAAACCUCUUUCAGCAGGGAAGAAGCGCAAGUGACGGUACCUGCAGAAGAAGCACCGGCUAACUACGUGCCAGCAGCCGCGGUAAUACGUAGGGUGCGAGCGUUGUCCGGAAUUAUUGGGCGUAAAGAGCUCGUAGGCGGCCUGUCGCGUCGGAUGUGAAAGCCCGGGGCUUAACCCCGGGUCUGCAUUCGAUACGGGCAGGCUAGAGUGUGGUAGGGGAGAUCGGAAUUCCUGGUGUAGCGGUGAAAUGCGCAAAUAUCAGGAGGAACACCGGUGGCGAAGGCGGAUCUCUGGGCCAUUACUGACGCUGAGGAGCGAAAGCGUGGGGAGCGAACAGGAUUAGAUACCCUGGUAGUCCACGCCGUAAACGUUGGGAACUAGGUGUUGGCGACAUUCCACGUCGUCGGUGCCGCAGCUAACGCAUUAAGUUCCCCGCCUGGGGAGUGCGGCCGCAAGGCUAA
rnacentral:rRNA from 1 species